CACCUGCUGCUGCUGCUGGUUACACUUGGCCUUCAGGCGCUGGUUCUCCGACUUUGUGGGGUGUGAUGAGAAUCAGCUGGAAGGCUCAGGAAGCAGCCUGGGCUCGGGGCCCCCUGGGUCUUGGUCGUUUGAGCAAGUUCUCAGCUAGAUUCUCAUGCCUCCCAAAGCUGAAGAGCCUCUGAGGCUCUAGGUGCCUUGGGCGGCCAGUCUCUGGCUGCUGCCUGCCCUCCCCGCACCUGGGAUGCCCGUUCCCCUCCUGUCCCCUCUGAUGCCUGACCCGCAGUGAGUUCCUGCUUCCCCUUGCCUGGACCACUCCUCUGGCCCUGACCACACGUCCCACCUUGCACAGGACUGCGUUUUUCUUGUGGGCUGUUCCAUACCCUCCCUGUUUUCACAGAGCCCUCGUGUUGGGUGGGCCCCUGGCUGUCAUCUGUCACGUCUUCCCGCCUUCCCUGAGCAGGGGGAUCCUGGGUUGCCAAGGGCCGAGGGGAGUGCUUGAGGAGCAGGGCGGGGCAGGCCCCUGACCAGCUCUGCCUCAACCACAGGAGAGGAGGCUGCUGCGGGUGACAGAGCCAUCCAUGAGCGGGACCUGGCCUGGCUGCAGCAGGCAGAUGUGGUUGUGGCAGAAGUGACCCAGCCCUCUCUGGGUGUCAGGUAUGAGCUGGACCGCGCCGUGGCCCUCGAAGAACCAGUCCUCGGGAGUUGCUGUCAUGGUGCAGCAGAAACAAAUCCAACUAGGAACCAUGAGGUUUUGGGUUUGAUCCCUGGCGUCGCUCCAUGGGUUAAGGAGCCAGCAUUGCCGUGAGCCAUGGCUUAGGACACAGACACAGCUCAGAUCUGGCAUUUUUGUGGCUGCUUUGUAGGCCGGCAGCUGCAGCUCCAAUUCGACCCCUAGGCUGGGAACCUCCAUAUGCCACAGUUGUGGCCUUCAAAAGCAAAAAAAGAAAAAAGGAAAAAACCAGUCCUGUGCCUGUUCCUCCAGCAGUGUGACUGAGGUGAGCCCUCCCAGCCCUGGAUGGACACCCCCCUUCCCCCAGAUCUCUGAGGACAGUGCUCACUGUGAAAAGGGGUGGGAAAGGGGGGGGGGAGUGUGGGAGGCCACCUUCACCUCCCUCGGCCCUUCCCAGUGCUCUCAGCCAUGAUCCAGGGAGCUGACGAUGACUCGAGGUUCCAGGUGUGGGACUACCACCAGGCAGAGGCAGAGGCCGUGCUGGAUCAGUACUUUGAGGCUGAUCCUCCCGAGCAGGUGACCUCCCCCUCCCCUGACCCACCCGCUUGACUGAAGCCCAGGUCAUUAAAUUCUUCUGACCCCCACACUCUGCUCCAAUGUGAUCGUGUGACUCUUGCCUCUUAGCCCCAGGACCACAUUCGAAGGUAUGGUUACAACUCUAUGUGUGUUGAGUGCAGAGCAGGAGUGAAAACAGUACUAUCCUCUAAACAUUCCCAUCCACUUCAAGAUGUCAAGAGACCCUUUAAAGGCCCAUAUGCGCCCCCCGCCCCCCAAGAGGAGGAAACUUCCUCAUGCUCUCAGGCUCCUCCCAGGGACAUUCAAGGUUGUGGAGGAAGCAGAUCAUGUUGGGUGGCCAUUCCUCUCGCUGUCUCUGAUGCUGGGCUUGACACCUAAGUGUCCAUUCGUGGAUGAAUGGCUCAAGAAAACGUGUGUGUGUGUAUAUAUACACAAAUGGAAUAUUACUCAGCCAUAUAAAAGGAAGUCCUGCCAGUUCCAACAAUGUGGAUGGACCUUGAGGUAUGAAGCUAAGGGAAAUAAGUCAGACAGAAAAAACAAAUACUAUAGCACAUCACUUACAUGUAAAAUUAAAAAAAAAAAAUCUCAUAGACCCAGAGAACAGAUUGUUGUUUUCUAGCAGUUGGGGGUUGGGUUGGGGGAAUUGGGUUCAGAUGGUCAAAAGUUACAAACCUCCAGUGAUAAAAUAAUUAAGUCCUGGGGAUACAAUAUACAGUGCGGUGACUAUAGUUAAUACUGUGCCUUUGAAAAUUGCCAAAAGAGUAGAUCUUAAGAGUUCUUAACACACACAAAACUUGUGACUAUGUCUGGUCAUGGAUAUUAGCCAAACGUAUUGUGGUGAUCAUUCCAAAAUACAUGGAUCCCAUUGAAUACCUGAAUGUAAUGUAUGCCAAUUCUCUUUCAGUACUUAAGAAUCCACAUGGAGUUCCUGGCAUGGCUCAGCAGUAACUAGUAUCCAUGAGGAUGUCAGUUUGAUCCCUAGCCUUGCUCAUUGGGUUAAGGAUCCGGUAUUGCCAUGAGCUGGGGUGUAGAUUGCAGACUCAGCUCCAGUCUGGCGUGGCUGUGGCUGUGGCGUUAGGCUGGCAGGUACACCUUGGAUUUGCCCCCUAGCCUGGGAACUUCCAUAUGCCAGUGGUGCAGCAUAGGGGAACUUCCAUAUGCCAGUGGUGCAGCAGUAAAAAAAAAAAAAAAAAA
rnacentral:lncRNA from 1 species